GGGCUUUUCAAGGUCUCAGUUUGAACAUAUUUGAGUACAUAACACCUAAAAAUAAGGUUCUACAUGGACGGUCAGAUACUGCCGUUCAUUACACAGGCAUGAUGGGUUUCAACUUCAAAGUUUAAAAAUUCUGGAAAAAGGGGGGCCAGAAACGGCCCUUAUCAUACCUUGUCCUUUCUAAAGGAAUAUAUGCAUACUUUGUCAAAACCACGAAAUUAAACAUCCACGAAUAUGCAAGUUUUCCUCCAACCAAGAAAAUUGGUACCCACGAAAAUAAAUGAAUCCACAGUAAUUGAUAAAUAUAUUUGGUAUUAAUAGAAAUGUCUUUCCAGUCGUCUCUUUAUUGGUAAAUGUCUACAAUUAUCUUCAAUUACACACGUGUGGUUUUAUUGACUUGAGGUCACGAACUACUUAAACUUAUGACAAAAGUAAUGUAAAUUUGCCUAAACUAUAUUGUUAAAGAUACAAAUACACUUUGUAUUUAUAAAUAGCUGAUAAAGAAAUUAUUGUUUGUCAAAGCAUGUGACUAUGCAAUUUGAUUCCAGGACACAUCUUAUCAGCUGUCGAUUACUAAAGUCAUAUUUCACACUUGUACUCAUUAUGUUUCACAAGCGUAACAAGACUUAAAAACUUCAAAAUUACUAUAUAUAUAUAUCAUGUAUAUUAAUUUGAUAUUUUCCGGAGAUGAUUUGAAUUGAAACAAAGUAAUGUCAAAGUGUCUUAAGAAGAUGCAUCGUGACGAUAACUAUUGUUAUAAAAUAUUAUAGAAAUAGCCAAAACUUUCACAAAUCACACAUAGAAAUUGGAAAUUUUCAUAUGCAAUUCAUUUACGUCCGUUUAAAUUUCAAACGAAUAUUUUAAAAUACCAUUGUCAAGUAAAUGCCGGUAAAUGUGCUGAUUCCAAUGAAUUUGAUAUACUUUUUCAAACACAAUUACAAUUCGUUUGGGGACAAAAGUCGAUUACAAAUGAUCGAAUAUAAAUAUUCAAUAAAGUGAUAUUUUUUUGUUUAUCGAUACAAAAUAGACAAAAGGGAAUCACAUAACCCCUGAAACUGAUCAAAACAGGGAAAGUCGACAUGAUCAUCAGAUGGACACAAAGACAGAAUGUAACAAUCAGGAAUAUGAUGAAAUCAUAUGUUUAUUAAAUUUCCUGUCUAAAACAGUGAGAAUGUCGCUC
rnacentral:lncRNA from 1 species